ACGGCAACCUCCAGGGGAGCUCACAUUGAUGAUUAUUCCUGGGACCUCUGUGUCCAUUGUCCUGUCCCCUCAGUGAGCCACAGCCACCCCCUGCUCUCCCUGGAGACCCUCUAAGACCCACAGGUAGGCCUGAUCCAGAUUCUUAUGGAGUCCCCGCUUUGCCCUGGAACCCAGUGCACGAGAAACCCUUUGUGUGCCCUCCAGUGGUGGAAUCUGUUCCCUCCAGUCCUGUGGAGCUCCUGUGCUCAAGCCUCACUGGCUUUCAACGCCAAAUGCUUCAGGGGCUCCUCCUCCCAGUGCCAGACCCCCAGGCGUGGGAACCUGAUGUGGAGCCCCAAACUCUCACUCAUGUGGGAGAGCCUCUGCCAUAUAGUUAUUUUCCAGUCUGUGGGUCACCCACCCAAUGGUUAUGGGAUUGCUUAUAUCAUGAAAGCACCCCUCCUACCUUCUUGAUGUGACAACUUUGUCUUUGGGUAAAGGAUAUCUUUUUUUGGUAGCUUCCAGUGUGUUUUGGCUAUUCAAAAGUUAGUUGUAAUUUUGGCUUUUUUUGUGAGAGGAGGUGAGCCCGAGUCGUUCUAUGCCAUAGUCUUGUCUCUGUCAAGUAAGUGGUGCUGGGAAAACUGGACAGCGGUACCCUGUGCCCUCCUUCCUUCCUGGCCCAGACAGACACACUUUGGCCUGGAGUUAAAUUUUCUAAAGUCCUUGAAUUUUCCAGAAGGGGUAAAACUUAUAUUACAUUUAAUAUAGCGGUACUUUUAUUAUUUAUUCUCUAGAGUAACAAUUAGAAGAUUAGAAAAAUAAUGUAUAACUAACCGGCUGAAAGAUGAGCUAAUGGAUUUUUAAAAAAUACUUCAUUAAUCUAAAAGAUGGCAAGAAUGGAAAGAAAAAUAACAUGAAACAGGUGAAACAAUGGAAAACGUGUAGUAGGGUGAUAAGCCUAAAGUUGGAGUUCCUGUUGUGGCUCAGCAGGUUAAGGUUCUGACAUUAUCUCUGUGAGGAUGCAGGUUUGAUCCUUGGCUUCACUCAGUAGGUUAAGGAUCUGGCAUUGCCACAAAGCUGUGGCAUAGGUCACAGAUGCGGCUCGGAUCUGGUGUUGUGGGUAGACUGCAGCAGCUCCGAUUUAAUCUCUAGCCUGGGAACUUCUAUAUGCUGUGGGUGCGGCCAUAAAAAAAACCAUGUCAAUCACUACCUAAAAUGUACCCAAAAUUAGUGUAAUUAAAAGACAGAAUUAUCAGAACGGAUUUUUAAAACUAUACACUGCUUACAAGGAAAGCCUCUUAUUAAAUAUAACAACAUAGAAAUAUUGAAAAUUUCCUUUCCAGCUCUUUCAAGUUGAAAGUAGAUGUGGCUUGCAAACACUAAAAUAGAAAAGAAAAGCUGCUCUAACUGUACUAAUAAAAAACAAAGCAAACUUUAAAGAUAAUAGUAUUACUAGAGAUUAAAAAAGACAUUAUAUAAUGCUAAAAGAUCAAUUCAUUGGGAAGUUUUAAUAAUCCUAAACCAUAUAUACACAUAUGGUUUGUCUCAAGUCAUAAUAAUGUGACUUCAAAAUGUAUAAAACAAAAAAUUGACAAAGCUGAACAAAUAGAAACAUCCGCAGUCACGGUGGGACAAUUAAAUACAUCUCUGUUUUUAGGGGUGCCUGAUAGAACAGGCAGACAAAAAUAUCUGUACCUUUAUUGGACACCUCUUGUACCCUGUCUUCCAUCUCUUGGCCCAUAUUUUUAUUGCAGUUAUUGCCAUAUCAGUCAGCUCUACACAGGUGUAACUUGACAACUCCUUGUCACAACUGCAUCAUGCAUGUCUUUGUUUCUUCCCUGGAGUUUCACUGCUACCUAUACAUGGAACCCUUACAAGAAUUUGCUCAAUCAUUUUGUUACAUGCCAAGUGAAUUAAUGCCACUCAGGGCAGCCCUCAACCAAUAAAGACAGGAGCCAGUCGAUAAUUAUUCUCCUGUAUCUCAAGUGCACAAUUCUUUUUCAAAAAUUUUUUUUAUUAUAGUUGGUUUACAAUGUUGUGUCAAUUUCUGCUGUACAGCAAAGUGACCCAGUCUCUCUCUCUCACACACACCACCCCCCGACACACCCACAUACACCCACACCCUUUCUUAUUUUAUCUUCCAUCAUGGUUUAUCUCAAGAGACAGGAUAUAGUUCCCUGUGCUAUACAGUAGGACUUCAUUGCUUAUCAAUUCUAAAUAUGAUAGUUUGCAUAUAUUAACCCCAAACUCCCAGUCCAUCCCCGACCCCCCCCCCCGCAACCACAGUUCUGUUCUCUAUGUCUGUGAGUCUGUUUCUGUUUUGUAGGUCAGUUAAUUUGUGCCAUACUUUAGAUUCCACAUAUAAGUGACAUCACAUGGUAUUUGUCUUUCUCUUUCUGACUUACUUCACUUAGUAUGAGAAUUUCUAGUUGCAUUCAUGUUGCUGCAAAUGGCAUUAUUUUAUUAUUUUUUAUGGAUGAUUAGUAUUCCAUUGUGUAUAUGUACCACAUCUUCUUAAUCCAUUCAUCUGUUGAUGGACGUUUAGGUUGUUUCCAUGUCUGACUAUUGUGAAGUACUGUUCUGAACCUGCAGGUGCAUGUAUCUUUUUGAAUUACAGUUUUGUCUGGAUAUAUAUACCAAGGCAUGGGAUUGCUGGAUUAAAUGGUAUUUCUAUAUUUAGUUUUCUGAGGAACCUCCAUACUGUUCUUCAUGGUGGUUGUACCAAUUAACAUUCCCAUCAAUAGUGUAGGAUGAUUCCCUUUUCUCCACACCCUCUCCAGCAUUUGUUAUUUGUAGACUUAUUAAUGAUGGCCAUUCUGACCAGUUGUGCGGUUGUUCCUCAUUAUAGUUUUGAUUUGCAUUUCUGUAAUAAUUAAUGAUGGCCAUUCUGACCAGUGUGCGGUUGUUCCUCAUUAUAGUUUUGAUUUGCAUUUCUGUAAUAAUUAAUGAUGUUGAGCAUUUUUUUCUUUUUCUCUUCUUUUCUUUCCUUUCUUUUUUUUUUUUUUUUUUUUUUUUUUUUUUUUUUUUUUUUUNCAGCAAUGCUGGAUUCCCUGACCCACUGAGCAAGGCCAGGGAUUGAACCUGCAUCUUCAUGGAUGCUAGUUGGAUUCAUUUCUGCUGUGCAACAACAGGAACUCCAAUGUUGAGCAUUUUUUCAUGUGCCUACUGGCCAGCCAUGUGUCUUUGGAGAAAUGUUUAUUUAAGUCUUCUGUCCAUUUUUUUUUUUACUGGAUUGUUUGUUUGUUUAUUGUUGAGUUGUAUGAGUUGUUUGUAUAUUUUGGAGGUUAAACCCUUGUUGGUUGCAUCCUUUGCAACUAUUUUCUCCCAUUCCAUAGGUUUUUUUUUUUUUUAUGGUUUCCUUUGCUGUGCAAAACUUGUAAGUUUGAUUAGCUCCCAAUUCCUGUUCUUCGGAAUUACUUUCCAAAAUAAACUAUCUGCACACAAACUCUGUUUCAGACUCUGCUUUUGAGACUAAUACACUAAGAAUAUAGAAUACUUGUACAAUAUAACCAGCAACCUUGACCUGACUGACAUGUAUAAAACAUUGCACCCAAACAAUGUAAAAUCUAUGAUCUUUUCAAGUGUAUAUGGAACAUUCAUCAGCAUUAAGUAUAUGCUAAGUGAAGGACAAGUUGUAAAAUUCAAAAGUAUCAAAUUCAUAGAGUAUUUAUUGCUCUGACCACGGUGGAAUUCAGUUAGAAAUAAUAAUAAAAAAGGAUAACUGAAAAUAACCGAUGUGUUGAAAAUAAACAGUAAAUAAUCUUUGGGUCAAAAAGAAAAUCAACAAAAAUUUAGAAAAAAAAAUUGAAAUUAGUAGUAGUAAAAGUAUACCACCUCAAAACCAAACAGCUAACAUACCAAGAGGAAAAUUUACAUUUUUAUAUUUCAUUUGUUAUCAAAAAAAGCUGAAAAGUCAAUACAAUUUUAUUACCUAUAUCCACCAUGUUAGAAAUAGUAUACUAAUUAAACCAAAGUAGAAUGAUUGAAAUAAUGAAGGCAAGAGAAAAGGCUGUUGAAACAGAAAACAGAUGUUUCUUGAAUUUAUGCUUUGGUAAUGCUGAAUGACUUGGCGUUCCCCAAGCACCAUCCUUUCUUCUGCCCUUUUUGGAUGUAUAGCUGCUUAUGCUCAUAAAGCCCUGUCUCAGUUUGUCCAGUGAUGGAAUAUAACCUGCCCUUGAGAUCUCAGUUCAAAUGAAGCUGUCGCUGCCUUCCCAGGACAGACUUGACAGCUUCUCUUACCACCCACAUCUCUCUCUCCAUUUCAGCACUUUGCUAUUGGUAAAGUGAUUAUGAGCUGGCAGUCUAUGAUCUUCUAUCACCAGGGUCUGGCACCUAGUAAGUGCCCAUCAAACUACUCUUGACUGAUAAAGUGAGUGAGUGGCAGUUUAUCCAGAAACCUGGAGACUGAGAGGAAUAGGUAAUUUUGAUACCCAGAUAGACAACAAGCAUUGUCACUGAAAGCACUCAUAUGAGAAAAGGUACAGAACUGGAGGAGAUAGUUACAAUCAUGUGUCUUGUGAUUAACAAGGGAUUCAUUCUGACUGGAUAGAAAAGGCUUUGAAAUCAGGAUGGGGAAUUAUUAAACAACUGGAAGAAUAUACCGAAAUGAUGGCUCGUGACAUCCUGGAAUACAAAAUGAAGAUGGGACUGACCUUUGCGGCCCUCAGCUCCCAGAGCAUAAUGAAAAUGGCAGGAUGGCAUUCUCACAGGGCUAGGAAACCCCAGGGCACAGAACUACCACUGCUCUGGGAACAGAGUGAAGGGUCCCAGAAUCCCUCAGAUAAUGUCAGAGGAUUGGGACAGGCUGGAGGCUGUUCCAAGUGCUAGAAAGGGCUUUUUAUUUCUUUUGGCUUUUUAGAGUUUUGAUACAACUUAAGGGAAGACAAUUCUGGUUCACAAACUGUUGGAAGAGGUACAUGAUCUUGGGGGCUAAUAAAAUGCCUGUACUAAUAAUGGGUAACUUUGAAUACUUACUAUACCUGAUACCUCACACCCCCAUCUCUUAUUUAAGCCUCGCCAUUCUUGUGCCCAUUUGACAGAUGAAUGGGAGAGGGGAUCUAAGAGAGGUGAAGAAAUUUGCCCCAAACACAAAGCGGGUAAGGGAUCCUACUGGGAUUCCAAUGCAGCUUGAUUCUGAGCUCUUAACUAUGCUCUUAAUCCACCUACCUCCCAAAUGCAUGGUCUGAAUAAGGGUUCUGUAAGAAAAGGAUAGCCCUUUGCCAGGCCUUGACAAUGCGAUCUUUGCUUUUUAGAUAUUUGUCCUAGGAGAUCCAAUCCUCUCCUCUCCCUUUAACAUUCCUCUUACAAGAACUGAAACAUUAGCCUUUCAGAGAGAUCUUGGUGCUUAGAUCCCUCUCCAUGGAGGCAUCAACAGACCAGCCAGAUGUCCACAAUUAUAUCAAUCACAUGUGGUAUGUAGGAGAAAGAGAAAGCUAUUCCUGGUUGUUUGUGUUAAGAGAUAAGGAAAUGCAGGAAUCAGGAGCAACUAAAAGGAAGAAUCAUCACCUGAGAAAGCAUUGAUUUCACAUCCUGAAGGGCUGAAUGAAGAGUUCCGCAUAACAUCCCCUCCAUUAACUCAGCAGAAGGGAGAGCCUAAAAGAUACUCUGAGUCUAGGCCCUCUGAUUCUUGCCAUGCUUGCUCAAAGCAACUGCCUGACUCCAUUUCUGGCAGGAACCAUAAUGAAACAAUCUUUGUGGGAGCACAUGAAAAGAACAAUGCAGGCUUCCUCCAACAGUCCACCAUAUAUGAGAAGAUCACCAUUGACAGAUUUGGUUCUAAGAUGUGCAGAACUGUCUGUUGUUGGCUGACUGAUACUGAUUGCUGAUAGACUGGCAGCAUUUCAAGGUUUUAAACAUGAUCACUACUGACAAAUUUAUUAGUCUCUUAAGCAAGCUAUCAACAACCUCCAAAGUGACUACCUUAGGGGAUCCCACUAUAAGGAAAGACUAAUCUCAGACUGGAGAAGAUGGACUGCUGUUACUGCAUAGGAGGGCUGGAAGAAGUUAGGAGUUCAAGGUUCCAGCUUCGUCAGAAUCUGCCCAAGUAUAUUCUCACACCAAUUUUCAGAGUC
rnacentral:lncRNA from 1 species